GAUCGUCUCACCCAAGAAAUUUUAGCUAACUUCUGUAAAGGAGAAGAUUUGACGCACUAUGACACCCUACAUCUACGUAAAUGUGAACCCAUUUUGCAACAAUUCGUCAGUGCUUGCCUUCAGAACGACAAAACAAGUUGUAUGGCAGAUCACUGUAGAAGAAUUGUUCAGGAACUGGUCGUUUGUAUGAUGGCUCCUUCACGAAAACACAAAGCAGAACACAGAAAGACGCUACCCACCACCUCAAGUUACUAACCUGUUUGAGGACUAUGCAUUCUUUCCUAAUUUCUCUCAGUGCAGAGGUAUUCCUAAAUUUCAAGUUGAUGUUUACUGGGGAUGUAAAACAACAAUUUGUCACAAAAAGAAGAAAGGACACCGUUCUCUGUCUUCCGGCAUAUUAGCUACAUAUUGCCCUCAUGGAAUAUCAUACGUGUUUGAAGUGUUGCAAAAUGUUGAGUCACCAAGAAUACCAUUUUAAAUGAUGCUGUCUCGGUUCAAAGAGCCUCCACAAUAUAUUCUUUAUGACAACGCUUAUAACUUACAUGAGUAUGUGCUGAACAGAGAACCAAGGCUAUUUCAAAAUUCAAUAUUCCUUGUUGAUCGGUUUCAUUGGUCUAGCCACUCAAGUUGUUCAGAUAUGGCUACUGUGUCGACAGUUACAAGAACAAAGUUUUGGAGAGUCUGAACACAGCAGUCAUGAACAGGACAUUCAGGACUAAUCCGUUUGAAAAGCCAACUUUCAUAUGAAACAAGCUAAUUUUAUUAGCCAUGUAGUUUUGCUAACGUUUUUGGCAUUUAAAAAAUAGAAGCAGAAAGUAAUAGAGUUGUUCAUCUUCUGUUUGAUCUCCAGCUGAGUACAUUUUGGUAAA